rnacentral:rRNA from 1 species
AUUGAACGCUGGCGGCAGGCCUAACACAUGCAAGUCGAACGGUAGCACAGAGGAGCUUGCUCCUUGGGUGACGAGUGGCGGACGGGUGAGUAAUGUCUGGGAAACUGCCCGAUGGAGGGGGAUAACUACUGGAAACGGUAGCUAAUACCGCAUAACGUCGCAAGACCAAAGAGGGGGACCUUCGGGCCUCUUGCCAUCGGAUGUGCCCAGAUGGGAUUAGCUAGUAGGUGGGGUAACGGCUCACCUAGGCGACGAUCCCUAGCUGGUCUGAGAGGAUGACCAGCCACACUGGAACUGAGACACGGUCCAGACUCCUACGGGAGGCAGCAGUGGGGAAUAUUGCACAAUGGGCGCAAGCCUGAUGCAGCCAUGCCGCGUGUAUGAAGAAGGCCUUCGGGUUGUAAAGUACUUUCAGCGAGGAGGAAGGCGUUGUGGUUAAUAACCGCAACGAUUGACGUUACUCGCAGAAGAAGCACCGGCUAACUCCGUGCCAGCCGCCG